ACGCUGGCGGCGUGCUUAACACAUGCAAGUCGAACGAUGAACCCGGAGCUUGCUCUGGGGGAUUAGUGGCGAACGGGUGAGUAACACGUGGGCAACCUGCCCCAGACACUGGGAUAACUUCGGGAAACCGAAGCUAAUACCGGAUACGACCACUUCAGGCAUCUGAUGGUGGUGGAAAGUUUUUCGGUCUGGGAUGGGCCCGCGGCCUAUCAGCUUGUUGGUGGGGUAAUGGCCUACCAAGGCGACGACGGGUAGCCGGCCUGAGAGGGCGACCGGCCACACUGGAACUGAGACACGGUCCAGACUCCUACGGGAGGCAGCAGUGGGAAUAUUGCACAAUGGGCGCAAGCCUGAUCUAGCCAUGCCGCGUGAGCGAUGAAGGCCUUAGGGUUGUAAAGCUCUUCAGGGGGGAAGAUAAUGACUGUACCCCCAGAAGAAGCCCCGGCUAACUCCGUG
rnacentral:rRNA from 1 species